CAGUAGCCGCGGUAAUACCGAGGGUGCGAGCGUUAAUCGGAUUUACUGGGCGUAAAGCGUGCGUAGGCGGCUUUUUAAGUCGGAUGUGAAAUCCCUGAGCUUAACUUAGGAAUUGCAUUCGAUACUGGGAAGCUAGAGUAUGGGAGAGGAUGGUAGAAUUCCAGGUGUAGCGGUGAAAUGCGUAGAGAUCUGGAGGAAUACCGAUGGCGAAGGCAGCCAUCUGGCCUAAUACUGACGCUGAGGUACGAAAGCAUGGGGAGCAAACAGGAUUAGAUACCCUAGUAGUCCCUGUCUCUUAUAA
rnacentral:rRNA from 1 species